UACGUAGGGGGCAAGCGUUAUCCGGAUUUACUGGGUGUAAAGGGAGCGUAGACGGCAGCGCAAGUCUGGAGUGAAAUGCCGGGGCCCAACCCCGGAACUGCUCUGGAAACUGUGAAGCUGGAGUGCAGGAGAGGUAAGCGGAAUUCCUAGUGUAGCGGUGAAAUGCGUAGAUAUUAGGAGGAACACCAGCGGCGAAGGCGGCUUACUGGACCGUGACUGACGCUGAGGCGCGAAAGUGUGGGGAGCAAACAGG
rnacentral:rRNA from 1 species